rnacentral:rRNA from 1 species
AGGGUGUAAACGCUGCGGGCUUGGUGUUGGGGGUCCUUUGAGGGCGCCCAGUGCCGGAGAGAAGUUGUUAAGCCUGCUGCUUGGGGAGUACGUCCGCAAGGAUGAAACUUAAAGGAAUUGGCGGGGGAGCACAACAACGGGUGGAGCUUGCGGUUUAAUUGGAUUCAACGCCGGAAAUCUUACCGGGACCGACAGCAACAUGAAGGCCAAGCUGAAGACUUUGCCGGAUUAGCUGAGAGGUGGUGCAUGGCGUCAGUGACU